rnacentral:lncRNA from 1 species
GCAUCACAGAAUCCAAGACAGCUGUUGCUUUAAUGGCAGAACGUGCAAAAUGACUGUUGGCCUCAACCACCCUUGCAAAAGUGGUCUUAUAAGCCUAAGUGCAACACAGCCAUUGUGAGGGAGCAAUGAUUCUGUAACAGUGCUUGUGGACUCUUCAGACCCAAGAAGACUUCAAAAGGAAGACUAGACUUAUCUAAUUUUGCUUCGGUUUAAUUGUUCCAGACAGCUAUUUUCUGUUAAUUCUGAUGCCUGUUGAUUGUUUCAAAACUCAUCACAUGAUUGCUAGCUGGAAGGACUCUUGGCUUCAAGUAACAGAACGUCCUUCAUCAGGGACAACAAGAUGGAGCUGUUUCCUCUGUUUAACCGAUAGACACAGUUAUUCACAGUGCAGUUGCACAUUAACCACUUGGAUCCCGAUGGGAAUCAGUCAUUCAGCAAGAAAGAUUGUUGAAG